GAUGAAGAACGUAGCGAAAUGCGAUAAGUAAUGUGAAUUGCAGAAUUCAGUGAAUCAUCGAAUCUUUGAACGCACAUUGCGCCCGCCAGUAUUCUGGCGGGCAUGCCUGUCUGAGCGUCAUUUCAACCCUCAGCCCCCGCUCGCGGGGCGCUGGCGUUGGGGAUCGGCGGAGCCCCCCGUGGGCACACGCCGUCCCCCAAAUACAGUGGCGGUCCCGCCGCAGCUUCCAUCGCGUAGUAGCUAACACCUCGCGACUGGAGAGCGGCGCGGCCACGCCGUAAAACACCCAACUCUUCUGAAGUUGACCUCGAAUCAGGUAGGAAUACCCGCUGAACUUAAGCAUAUCAAUAAGCGGAGGA
rnacentral:misc_RNA from 1 species